rnacentral:rRNA from 1 species
UACGUAGGUGGCAAGCGUUGUCCGGAAUUACUGGGCGUAAAGUGUGCGCAGGCGGCCGAGCAAGUCGAGUGUGAAAGCCCCGAGCUUAACUUGGGAACUGCGCUCGAAACUACUUGGCUAGAGUGUGGCAGAGGGAGGUGGAAUUCCACGUGUAGCGGUGAAAUGCGUAGAGAUGUGGAGGAACACCGAUGGCGAAGGCAGCCUCCUGGGCCAACACUGACGCUCAUGCACGAAAGCGUGGGGAGCAAACAGG